CAGCAUGUGAGGAGGCCUGUACGUCAGGCAUUUUCCUAAGCAACUAAAUCUUCAAUAAAUCUGCUCUUGCACUAAAUAAUACAAUACAGGAAAAUAAAUAACAGGUAAAACAAUAACGUAUAAUAAAGCAGACAAACAUAAUGGUAAUUCAAUGUUUCUUCGUAUGAUCAAUUCUACAUAAAAGUUCACUUGGUAAAACCCCAAAGCAUUCAUUAUUAAGUACACAAAAAGGCCAAUCCAGGAAACUACAUAAAGUAACUUCCCAAUAUAUAUAUAAUAUAUAUAAAAACGGACAACAUAUUGACCGUGGCAAGCAUAAAAAUCUUAUUGACAACAAAGAGUCAACAAAUCUGGUAACUGUGAGACGUAUCAGUGAAAGAUCAAGUUCAGACAGCACGCAGCACAAUCGUGUAGGCACGAUUGACCGUGUGAGAGGAAGAGAGGAAGGGAAGAAGUUGGUGGAGGGGGGGGGGGGGGGGGGGGGGGGGGGGGGAGGGGGAAGAGAAAUCUAGUUUACGAAGGGAAAAUCUUUUGCUGCAUUAGGAGAGAGAAAGGAGGUUCAUCGGUGUCAUUUGCUUGGAUACGAGAGUGGUUUACCGACAAGUCGAAGCCUAUAUAGUACAAUUGUGUCUCAUGUUCAUUCAACAUAUGCACUUAAAGACUGAAGUCAAAUAACCACAAAACAACUUCUAAACAAUAUCCAUGUCGUUUACUGGGAUAUAAGAGGGGUUUUCCAAAUAUAUAACCCAAUGCAAUGACCCCAUACUUCCAUCUUUCUCCUCCAACGAUCAUAAUCUUACUAAUCGUUGCAUUAAGCACAGCUAAAUUUUUAUUAGAAUUAGCCCAUAGGCAAUAUCCAAGAUCAAUCAUCGACCAGAAAUCUUCGGCAACAAUGUAGUCAACAAAGUAUCUACAACAUCCAACACCCAUAGCUACACAAGACAUUAAGCUCCCCUUUCCCAUAACCCAGCAAUUCUGGAUUAUCAAGAUCAAUAUAAUAAAUUCUUAAGGGCCAACACUAAUUUAAACUGCAAGAAACAACAGAAACAAGCAGGUUUAUAAGGCAUGUUUAGGACCACUUAAGAGAACUAUAACUCUACAGUACUUGAGAACAAUCCCCAUCACUGUAAAGGUCCAAAAAUUUGAAAGAUCCACAUAUACACCAACCAAUCGAUAACAUUUUCACGGAUACGGGCAGAGCAGGCAGUAUUCAUUAUAAACAACUACAAUCCAGAAGCUUUGCAUCUGUC
rnacentral:lncRNA from 1 species